AUUGAACGCUGGCGGCAGGCUUAACACAUGCAAGUCCAGCGUGGUGAUGGUGCUUGAACCAUCACUUAGUGGCGGUCGGGUGAGUAUUGCUUAGGAAUCUGCCUAUCAGUUGGGGACAACAUCUCGAAAGUGAUGCUAAUACCGCAUAAGUCCUUCGGGAGAAAGCAGGGGAUCACUUGUGACCUUUCGCUAAUAGAUGAUCCUAAGCCGGAUUAGCUAGUUGGUGGGGUAAAGGCCUACCAAGGCGACGAUCUGUAGAGGGUAUGAGAGUAUGAUGCGCCACACUGGGACGGAGACACGGCCCAGACUCCUACAGGAGGCAGCAGUGGGGAAUAUUGGACAAUGGGGGGAACCCUGAUCCAGCCAUGCCGCGUGUGUGAAGAAGGCCUUAUGGUUGUAAAGCACUUUAAGCGAGGAGGAGGCUCUUUUGGUUAAGACCCAAGAUGAGUGGACGUUACUCGCAGAAUAAGCACCGGCUAACUCUGUGCCAGCCGCCGCAGUAACAC
rnacentral:rRNA from 1 species